rnacentral:rRNA from 1 species
CGAUAGAGAUAGCCCAGCACCGAAGCCCGUUAAUAUGAAAAUUUUGUAUUAAUGUGCAAUGUGGUGUUUGGGAGAACUCUUUACCAAUAUAUAUUUUAAUAUUGUUCAAGUCCUUCUUGAAUGGGGCCACACUUCCAUAGAGGGUGCCAGGCCCGUAGAACUUUUAUUUUUAUUAUUGGUGAGUUUCUCCUUAGAGUCGAGUUGCUUGAGAGUGCAGCUCUAAGUAGGUGGUAAACUCCAUCUAAGGCUAAAUAUAACCACGAGGCCGAUAGCUAACAAGUACCGUGAGGGAAAGUUGAAAAGAACUUUGAAGAGAGAGUUCAAAAGUACGUGAAACCGUUUAGAUGUAAACCUGUUAUACUCCUAUUAUUUUAUCAUAUGCAGGAAGAUUCAACAUGCUUUGCCGACUACAACACUGCAUUAAUUAUUUUUACAUGUAUAUAAUAUAAUUUAUUAUAUAUGUGUAAUUGUAUGUUUGAGACGACACAGUAUAUUAAUUGUGAAGUUUUUCUUUUCCAAAGAAGCCUCAUAAUUCAAUAUUAUUGUGCGCUCAAUUUUUGUAUAGUAACGUUUGUAUCGGAGCUGUGCACUUCUUUCUGUAUAUUUGCGUUGCGACACGUUGUAUGUAUCGUUUUACAAAAUUUACAAUAUUUGUGUUAUGGCCUACAAUGAUUAGACCGUGGAAUAAAAGUUGCUUUGCACACUUUUAUUACCAGGACUUGUAGUGCACUUUUCCUAACGAUCAAUGCAACGUUAGCUAUUACAUAAAGUAAUGUAUCUCUAUGUAUUUGGGAUAUCAUUUAUUUUCUGUCUGCAACGUAUUUAUUAAUAAGAGCAAUAACAGGACCCGUCUUGAAACACGGACCAGGGAGUCUAGCAUAUUUGCAAGUCAUAGAGUUUAAAACAAACUCUUGGACACAAUUAACGUAAAGGGUGUUUUUUUAGUGUCUUUUCACUUUUUUACACACCAAGGGAAGAUGAGUAGUGGAUAUUUGAAUACUAUUUCGCACUCCUGGGGCGUUCCAUACAAGUUUUAUUAUGCAUAUUUUAAAAUUUGGGGCGCACCAAGAGCAUAUACGCUAGGACCCGAAAGAUGGUGAACUAUGCCUGGUCAGGAUGAAGUCCGGGGAAACCC